GGGGUGAGUAAUGCCUAGGAAAUUGCCCUGAUGUGGGGGAUAACCAUUGGAAACGAUGGCUAAUACCGCAUAAUGCCUACGGGCCAAAGAGGGGGACCUUCGGGCCUCUCGCGUCAGGAUAUGCCUAGGUGGGAUUAGCUAGUUGGUGAGGUAAGGGCUCACCAAGGCGACGAUCCCUAGCUGGUCUGAGAGGAUGAUCAGCCACACUGGAACUGAGACACGGUCCAGACUCCUACGGGAGGCAGCAGUGGGGAAUAUUGCACAAUGGGCGCAAGCCUGAUGCAGCCAUGCCGCGUGUGUGAAGAAGGCCUUCGGGUUGUAAAGCACUUUCAGUCGUGAGGAAGGUAGUGUAGUUAAUAGCUGCAUUAUUUGACGUUAGCGACAGAAGAAGCACCGGCUAACUCCGUGCCAGCAGCCGCGGUAAUACGGAGGGUGCGAGCGUUAAUCGGAAUUACUGGGCGUAAAGCGCAUGCAGGUGGUUUGUUAAGUCAGAUGUGAAAGCCCGGGGCUCAACCUCGGAAUUGCAUUUGAAACUGGCAGACUAGAGUACUGUAGAGGGGGGUAGAAUUUCAGGUGUAGCGGUGAAAUGCGUAGAGAUCUGAAGGAAGACCGGUGGCGAAGGCGGCCCCCUGGACAGAUACUGACACUCAGAUGCGAAAGCGUGGGGAGCAAAGAGGAUUAGAUACCCUGGUAGUCCACGCCGUAAA
rnacentral:rRNA from 1 species